rnacentral:rRNA from 1 species
UCCAGACUCCUACGGGAGGCAGCAGUGGGGAAUAUUGCACAAUGGGGGAAACCCUGAUGCAGCGACGCCGCGUGAGUGAAGAAGUAUUUCGGUAUGUAAAGCUCUAUCAGCAGGGAAGAAGCAAGACGGUACCUGACUAAGAAGCCCCGGCUAACUACGUGCCAGCAGCCGCGGUAAUACGUAGGGGGCAAGCGUUAUCCGGAUUUACUGGGUGUAAAGGGAGCGUAGACGGUAUGGCAAGUCUGAAGUGAAAGCCCAGGGCUUAACCCUGGGACUGCUUUGGAAACUGUUAGACUAGAGUGCUGGAGAGGUAAGUGGAAUUCCUAGUGUAGCGGUGAAAUGCGUAGAUAUUAGGAGGAACACCAGUGGCGAAGGCGGCCUGCUGGGCUUUUACUGACGCUGAGGCUCGAAAGUGUGGGGAGCAAACAGGAUUAGAUACCCCGGUAGG